rnacentral:rRNA from 1 species
AACUACUGGAAACGGUAGCUAAUACCGCAUAACGUCGCAAGACCAAAGAGGGGGACCUUCGGGCCUCUUGCCAUCGGAUGUGCCCAGAUGGGAUUAGCUAGUAGGUGGGGUAACGGCUCACCUAGGCGACGAUCCCUAGCUGGUCUGAGAGGAUGACCAGCCACACUGGAACUGAGACACGGUCCAGACUCCUACGGGAGGCAGCAUG